UACGAGGGGGGCGAGCGUUGUUCGGAAUCACUGGGCGUAAAGGGCGCGUAGGCGGCGCGGAAAGUCGUCGGUGAAAGCUCGGGGCUCAACCCUGAGUCUGCCGGUGAUACUCCCGCGCUCGAGCUCACUAGAGGCAGAUGGAAUUCCGGGUGUAGCGGUGGAAUGCGUAGAGAUCCGGAAGAACACCGGUGGCGAAGGCGGUCUGCUGGGGUGAGGCUGACGCUGAUGCGCGACAGCGUGGGGAGCAAACAGG
rnacentral:rRNA from 1 species